rnacentral:misc_RNA from 1 species
CCAAUAGCGUAUAUUAAAGUUGUUGCAGUUAAAAAGCUCGUAGUUGAAUUUCGGGAUUAGUACGCUGGUCAUGCCUUCGGUAUGUACUGGUGUUACUGGUUCCUACCUUCUGACGAACCGUCAUGUCAUUAAUUUGGUGUGGCGGGAAAUCAGGACUGUUACUUUGAAAAAAUUAGAGUGUUUAAAGCAGGCUCGCGCUUGAAUACAUUAGCAUGGAAUAAUGAAAUAGGACGUUCGAUCCUAUUUUGUUGGUUUCUAGGAUUGACGUAAUGAUUAAUAGGGAUAGUUGGGGGCAUUAGUAUUCAAUUGUCAGAGGUGAAAUUCUUGGAUUUAUUGAAGACUAACUACUGCGAAAGCAUUUGCCAAGGAUGUUUUCAUUAAUCAAGAACGAAAGUUAGGGGAUCGAAGACGAUCAGAUACCGUCGUAGUCUUAACCAUAAACUAUGCCGACUAGGGAUCGGAUGAUGUUAUUUUUAAUGACUCAUUCGGCGCCUUACG